rnacentral:rRNA from 2 species
GCUUGCUUCUCUGAUGUUAGCGGCGGACGGGUGAGUAACACGUGGGUAACCUACCUAUAAGACUGGGAUAACUCCGGGAAACCGGGGCUAAUACCGGAUAAUAUUUUGAACCGCAUGGUUCAAUAGUGAAAGACGGUUUCGGCUGUCACUUAUAGAUGGACCCGCGCCGUAUUAGCUAGUUGGUAAGGUAAUGGCUUACCAAGGCGACGAUACGUAGCCGACCUGAGAGGGUGAUCGGCCACACUGGAACUGAGACACGGUCCAGACUCCUACGGGAGGCAGCAGUAGGGAAUCUUCCGCAAUGGGCGAAAGCCUGACGGAGCAACGCCGCGUGAGUGAUGAAGGUCUUCGGAUCGUAAAACUCUGUUGUUAGGGAAGAACAAAUUUGUUAGUAACUGAACAAGUCUUGACGGUACCUAACCAGAAAGCCACGGCUAACUACGUGCCAGCAGCCGCGGUAAUACGUAGGUGGCAAGCGUAUCCCGGAAUUAUUGGGCGUAAAGCGCGCGUAGGCGGUUUCUUAAGUCUGAUGUGAAAGCCCACGGCUCAACCGUGGAGGGUCAUUGGAAACUGGGAAACUUGAGUGCAGAAGAGGAGAGUGGAAUUCCAUGUGUAGCGGUGAAAUGCGCAGAGAUAUGGAGGAACACCAGUGGCGAAGGCGGCUCUCUGGUCUGUAACUGACGCUGAUGUGCGAAAGCGUGGGGAUCAAACAGGAUUAGAUACCCUGGUAGUCCACGCCGUAAACGAUGAGUGCUAAGUGUUAGGGGGUUUCCGCCCCUUAGUGCUGCAGCUAACGCAUUAAGCACUCCGCCUGGGGAGUACGACCGCAAGGUUGAAACUCAAAGGAAUUGACGGGGACCCGCACAAGCGGUGGAGCAUGUGGUUUAAUUCGAAGCAACGCGAAGAACCUUACCAAAUCUUGACAUCCUUUGACCGCUCUAGAGAUAGAGUCUUCCCCUUCGGGGGACAAAGUGACAGGUGGUGCAUGGUUGUCGUCAGCUCGUGUCGUGAGAUGUUGGGUUAAGUCCCGCAACGAGCGCAACCCUUAAGCUUAGUUGCCAUCAUUAAGUUGGGCACUCUAGGUUGACUGCCGGUGACAAACCGGAGGAAGGUGGGGAUGACGUCAAAUCAUCAUGCCCCUUAUGAUUUGGGCUACACACGUGCUACAAUGGAUAAUACAAAGGGCAGCGAAUCCGCGAGGCCAAGCAAAUCCCAUAAAAUUAUUCUCAGUUCGGAUUGUAGUCUGCAACUCGACUACAUGAAGCUGGAAUCGCUAGUAAUCGUAGAUCAGCAUGCUACGGUGAAUACGUUCCCGGGUCUUGUACACACCGCCCGUCACACCACGAGAGUUUGUAACACCCGAAGCC